UACGUAGGGCGCAAGCGUUAUCCGGAAUUAUUGGGCGUAAAGCGAACGUAGGCGGUUUCUUAAGAUUGGUCUUAAAGACCGGGGCUCAACCCCGGGAAUGGAUCGAUAACUGGGAGACUGGAGGACGUCAGAGGAAAGUGGAAUUCCGAGUGUAGCGGUGAAAUGCGUAGAUAUUCGGAGGAACACCAGUGGCGAAAGCGACUUUCUGGGACGUUCCUGACGCUGAGGUUCGAAAGCUCGGGGAGCAAACAGG
rnacentral:rRNA from 1 species